AAAAAGUCUCUACACCCAAGCCAUUUCUGACAGCUGUCCGGGAGAAGGGAGGUUCUGUUAAGAGAAAUCCUGUGCCCCUUCAGAACUUGUCCCAGAAACCCCUCAUACGGUCUCUGAAGGGUUUUUUAAAGUUGAACACACACAGCACAGAAAGCAGGGACUCUUGUAGCCUGGGGAGACAGGAGAUGGUAAGUUGGGGCCACGUGUUGAGAAAGUAACCCUAGUAGUGUCCAGACUUAAAAUGUGCAGACCCAACGAUCCCAGCCUAGGGCUGUGGGCUGAGGAAGUGGGCAAACAAGUCAAAAGACUUCCUUGAAGCUCCUUGUAAUAGUGAAAGGUUGUCAAGUUUUGUUUAACUGAUGCCAAUCAGUUAAUAUAAUGCCCUCACUACAAUAUAACGCCCUCACUACUAAAGAAUCAGUGCUGUAGUAUUUAGUGUGGAAUCUGGAGGCCCUUGGAUGCCCAGUGACCAGAACUUACAGCUGUGUGGUCACAUCCGUCACAUCUGUCUGAGCCCCUGUUCCUGAAGCAGAGGGUCAGGAUGCUGCUACCUCUCCUCCCUCAAAAUUCACAGCUCCCGUAUUCCAGGGGCACCGGGGGAACCAGGCACUGUGGCCUGCACAGUGUUCAUUCAGAGACACGAGCCUUCAGGGGGUUCGUCUAGCUGGGUGCAGGCGAUCAGUGGAGCAACUCCAGACUGUGCUGAACAUCUAAUGCGGGGUGUGCCCCCCACCUACGCUGACCAGCCACAGCUCAGGCGGAGAUGGUUUGCAGAAAGCACCUAGGGGAGCAAAGGAGGAAGGAGACUGGACUCCGGCCAGACAGCCUGGGUUUAAAUUCUAGCUCUGACGCGCACGUGCGCUUGAGCACACACACACACACUCACACUCACAUUCACACUGGCUUUGUGACCUUGAACAAGUUCCUUAACCUCUGGCCUCAAUUUCCUCAUUUGUAAAAUGGAGAUAAUAGGAGUACCUACCUCAUAGGGUUGUUGUGAGGAUUAAAUGAAUUGAUGCUUGCAAAGUGCUUAGGCUAGGACCUAGUAUGUGGGAAGUCUGGACAGGUAUGUUCAAGUGCACAGAGUCUCUCCUGCGCCAUCGUCACCAUGACUUACUUUACAACCAGGAGAAACCCUGUACACGUCAGUGUUUUCAUUUUGAUCAACUCAGAAGUAAUUAAAAUGUACAGUUAAUUAAUGUAGAAGGCCGUGUGCCGGUGGCCUAGCGUGGGAAUGGAGUCUCUGAGUCUGCCACCUGCUUUCAAGGUUGGGGGGAAUGGUGAUUGAGGGAAAACAAGAGAGGUGUUCUCUUGGAGAGCUGGAAGGAG